GGAGCUACUGGGGCCUCCCCCCCCGCCCCGCCCCGCUGCCGGUGUGGACUGGGAGCGCCGAGCUGGGGGGGUGGGGGGGGCGCAGGAGGGAGCCCCCCAGGGCCUCAGAGGAGCCCCCGGGACGGAGCGGAGCCGUGGGUUGGGACCCCCCCAGAGCCACUCUUUUUUGGAUGUGGGGGGGGAUGACCUUUUCCCCCCUCCCCCGGUGUGUGGGGGGGGCCCGGCGCUGCCCGCGGAGCGCGGCCUCGGCCCCCCGAGGCCGGCAGGGCGAAGCCCCCCCGCGGCCUUGGAGGACGCUCGGGGUGUUUGUGGCGGAGCAGCAGCGGCGCCAUUGUCCGUGCAGGUGC